AGAGUUUGAUCAUGGCUCAGAAUCAACGCUGGCGGCGUGCCUAACACAUGCAAGUCGAGCGAGAAAGGGGACUUCGGUUCCUGAGUACAGCGGCGGACGGGUGAGUAACGCGUGGGUAAUCUACCCUCGAGUGGGGAAUAACACCGGGAAACUGGUGCUAAUACCGCAUGACAUCCACGGGCCCUCGGGUCUGUGGAUCAAAGCUGGGGACCGCAAGGCCUAGCGCUUGGGGAGGAGCCCGCGUCCGAUUAGCUUGUUGGCGGGGUAACGGCCCACCAAGGCUUCGAUCGGUAGCCGGCCUGAGAGGGCGGACGGCCACACUGGGACUGAGACACGGCCCAGACUCCUACGGGAGGCAGCAGUGGGGAAUUUUUCGCAAUGGGGGAAACCCUGACGAAGCACGCCGCGUGGAGGAUGAAGGCCCUCGGGUCGUAAACUCCUGUCGACCGGGAAGAAAGUUGCUCGGGCCAAUACCCCGGGCGGUUGACUGUACCGGUGGAGGAAGCUCCGGCUAACUCUGUGCCAGCAGCCGCGGUAAUACAGAGGGACCAAGCGUUGUUCGGAAUUACUGGGCGUAAAGGGCGCGUAGGCGGCUGGGUCAGUUUCGUGUGAAAUCCCUCGGCUCAACUGAGGAACUGCACGGAAAACUUCCCGGCUUGAGUUCGGGAGAGGGAAGCGGAAUUCCGGGAGUAGCGGUGAAAUGCGCAGAUAUCCGGAGGAACACCAGUGGCGAAGGCGGCUUCCUGGACCGUGACUGACGCUGAGGCGCGAAAGCUAGGGGAGCGAACGGGAUUAGAUACCCCGGUAGUCCUAGCUGUAAACGAUGAGUGCUGGGUGUAGGGGGUAUUGACCCCCCCUGUGCCGAAGCUAACGCAUUAAGCACUCCGCCUGGGGAGUACGGUCGCAAGGCUGAAACUCAAGGAAUUGACGGGGCCCGCACAGCGGUGGAGCAUGUGGUCAAUCGACGCACGCGAGAACUUACGGGGUUUGACUGUCGGA
rnacentral:rRNA from 1 species